UCCAGACUCCUACGGGAGGCAGCAGUGGGGAAUAUUGCACAAUGGGGGAAACCCUGAUGCAGCGACGCCGCGUGAAGGAAGAAGUAUUUCGGUAUGUAAACUUCUAUCAGCAGGGAAGAAAGAAGACGGUACCUGACUAAGAAGCCCCGGCUAGCUACGUGCCAGCAGCCGCGGUAAUACGUAGGGGGCGAGCGUUAUCCGGAUUCACUGGGUGUAAAGGGAGCGUAGACGGCCGUGCAAGCCAGGAGUGAAAGCCCGGGGCCCAACCCCGGGACUGCUCUUGGAACUGUGCGGCUGGAGUGCGGGAGGGGCAGGCGGAAUUCCUGGUGUAGCGGUGAAAUGCGUAGAUAUCAGGAGGAACACCGGCGGCGAAGGCGGCCUGCUGGACCGCGACUGACGUUGAGGCUCGAAAGCGUGGGGAGCGAACAGGAUUAGAUACCCGGUAGC
rnacentral:rRNA from 1 species